CCAGACUCCACGGGAGGCAGCAGUAGGGAAUCUUCGGCAAUGGACGAAAGUCUGACCGAGCAACGCCGCGUGAGUGAAGAAGGUUUUCGGAUCGUAAAACUCUGUUGGUAGAGAAGAACGUUGGUGAGAGUGGAAAGCUCAUCAAGUGACGGUAACUACCCAGAAAGGGACGGCUAACUACGUGCCAGCAGCCGCGGUAAUACGUAGGUCCCGAGCGUUGUCCGGAUUUAUUGGGCGUAAAGCGAGCGCAGGUGGUUUAUUAAGUCUGGUGUAAAAGGCAGUGGCUCGACCAUUGUAUGCAUUGGAAACUGGUAGACUUGAGUGCAGGAGAGGAGAGUGGAAUUCCAUGUGUAGCGGUGAAAUGCGUAGAUAUAUGGAGGAACACCGGUGGCGAAAGCGGCUCUCUGGCCUGUAACUGACACUGAGGCUCGAAAGCGUGGGGGGCAAACAGGAUUAGAUACCCUGGUAGUCCACGCCGUAAACGAUGAGUGCUAGAUGUAGGGAGCUAUAAGUUCUCUGUAUCGCAGCUAACGCAAUAAGCACUCCGCCUGGGGAGUACGACCGCAAGGUUGAAACUCAAAGGAAUUGACGGGGGCCCGCACAAG
rnacentral:rRNA from 1 species